rnacentral:rRNA from 1 species
ACGACUCUCAACAAUAGAUAUCUUGGCUCUUGCAACAAUGAAGAACGCAACGAAAUGCAAUACGUAGUGUGAAUUAUAGAAUUCCGUGAUUGAUCGAGUCUUAGAACACAAGUUGUGCCCGCAACUCAUUCAAGGGCAUGCAUUCCUGAGCGUCCUU